AUAGGUCCCGGAGAAGGAGCAGAUUCCAUUGCGGAUGGCGGCAUCGGCGGAGAAGCCAUAUCGGGAACUGAUAAUGGGCUUGGGCUUGGGCCCAUAGGAGUAGUUGGUUGGGCCAUUGGGCUUGAAGAUGGAGUCAUUGGCAUCAUAGGUGGUGGAGUCAUGGGCAUUGGUGGUGGAGCCAUGGGCAUAGGUGGUGGAGUCAUAGGCAUAGGUGGUGGAGCCAUAGGCAUAGGUGGUGGAGUCAUCAUUGGCAUCGGAGAGCUGCGGCCGCUAGACAUCGGCGGCAUCGACAUUGAGCCAGAAGGAGCCAUCAUGGGAGAUUGAGCUAAAGAGAAAUGAAUUAAAACCAUAGGCAAUGUGACCAAAAGGAGGGCUUGUGAAGAGGCCAUGGUUAU
rnacentral:lncRNA from 1 species